GAACGCGAAGAACCUUACCCGGGCUCGAACGGCGGAUGAAUAUGUUUGAGAGAGCAUAGUCGCAAGACAUCCGUCGAGGUGCUGCAUGGUUGUCGUCAGCUCGUGCCGUGAGGUGUCGGCUUAAGUGCCAUAACGAGCGCAACCCUUGCCGUCAGUUGCCAUCAGGAUAAGCUGGGGACUCUGUCGGGACUGCCACCGCAAGGUGUGAGGAAGGGGGGGAUGACGUCAAAUCAGCACGGCCCUUACGUCCGGGGCUACACACGUGUUACAAUGGCGACUACAGAGGGGUGCCACCCGGUGACGGGGCGCCGAUCUCCAAAAGUCGUCUCAGUUCGGACUGGAGUCUGCAACCCGACUCCACGAAGCUGGAUUCGCUAGUAAUCGCACAUCAGCCAUGGUGCGGUGAAUACGUUCCCGGGUCUUGUACACACC
rnacentral:rRNA from 1 species